GUGUGUGUGUGUGUGUGUGUGUGUGUGUGUGUGUGUGUGUGCAGGGUCCAGGUGUUCUCCCAGGUGAACAGGAUGUCAGCUCAGAACCUGGCUCUGGUCCUGGUCCCCUCUCUGUUCCAGACUCUGAACCAGGACCUGCUGACGCUCACCAGAGAGUUCAUCAUCCACCACUCGCUGCUCUUCCUGACGCUGGGUGGAGAGGAAGAGGAGGAGGAGCAGAUCACCGUCUUCUGAGGUUUCCUCCUCACGUUAUAUU